AAAAUUGUAGCUCAGUUGGCUAGAGCGUUGGCUGUACUAAGACCUUUCCAUUGCUGGCGUGGGUUCGAAUCCCACCGAGUUUU
rnacentral:tRNA from 1 species